rnacentral:lncRNA from 1 species
CUGGAUCGAAGUCAAGCAUGAAAUUCACUCCUUCACUUCUGGUGACCAAUCAAAGGGUGGGAUUGAAGAAGCUCGAUUAGAAGCGUGCAGAUUGCAAGCUAACAUUGCUAGAUCUGAAACAGAUGAUCUUGAUGAGAGGGUGUAUCUGUCGUCGUUUGCCUAUUAGCUACCGUUUGUUUUCCGAAAAAUGUAUAUCUAUGUGGGAAUCUAUGGUUCUCGGCACAAUCAAUCCCAGCCUUACGAAAAGACGAAGUUAGCUGUUAUUCUGAAAUUCAAAACUAAUAGCUUCAUAUCAUCUGCUCAAGUUCAUAGUUGAGUUCAUGAUUGAAGAGAAGCUCUUUCAAGAUUUGCAUAGAGAAAACACUCCUAUCAUAAAAGAAGACACUCGUAUCUGCUAUAGCCCAAUACAUUGUUACAAAAUGACAACUACUAAAACCAGCUUCCAGCUUCUAAGCACAAGGAAUGAGGCAUAUUUGUCCUCUCUGCGUAACUGCAAACUCCAGAAUGGAUUAUGAAGCGAAAAAAUCCUUCAACGUAGGGAAACCAAAGAAGUCAGGUUACUAACGUCUGCCAGUUCGAGAUUUUGGCUUAGCUGACCUCUGCAAUUGGGAGAAAUAUUGGAGAAAGAAUAAAUCAGUCAGACCCGCAGGUAUAGCAAGUGGUAUAAAUUCACAAGGGCAUGACCUGCAUAUCAUAGAACUAAAGUGGGCGUAAUAGCACGAUUACUUACAGACGCACUGCUGAAGCUAGCUCCAGAACCCGUUGCAGCACCUAGCACAAGAGAGAAAAUAAAGGUAUGGACAUAGGUUAGAAUUACAAGUCGGAUCAGGAGUAUACAGCACAUCCAUGAUAUUCUGGCUUAGCGUCCAGAGAGGUUGAGGGAUGAUGAAAGUUAACAUACCUGAAGGAAAUGGUGUUGAAAAU